rnacentral:rRNA from 1 species
AGCGCAGGCGGGAAGACAAGUUGGAAGUGAAAUCCAUGGGCUCAACCCAUGAACUGCUUUCAAAACUUGUUUUUCUUGAGUAGUGCAGAGGUAGGCGGAAUUCCCGGUGUAGCGGUGGAAUGCGUAGAUAUCGGGAGGAACACCAGUGGCGAAGGCGGCCUACUGGGCACCAACUGACGCUGAGGCUCGAAAGUGUGGGUAGCAAACA